rnacentral:lncRNA from 1 species
AGAUGGCUGCAUUAACAACCCUCUCCACCACAAUGCUCAGCACCACCUUCUUGAACCGCCACCAACCUGUUGUCACCAGUCUCCGAGCCAACACGGGUAGAUCCCUCUUCGGGCUCAAGUCAUCUGGCCGAGGCCGGGUGACUUGCAUGUCUCCUUACAAAGUCAAGCUGAUUACACCAACAGGCUAGGAAGCAUGAGUGCAGGUGCAGGUGCGGGUACGGGAGUGCGCGAUGCGGGGAUUCGGGAAUUCGGCAAAUUCAAAAAUGUGGGGAUUCGGGUGCGGGGGGAUUCGGCUAAUAUUGAUAUAUUAAGAUAUAUAUUAUACAUGUAUUUCAAGAGUUACAUAUAUAUUUAAACCAAUUAAUCAAAUAAAUAAGUUUAAUAUCCUUAAUAAUUUAUAAUAUAGUUACUUAAUAGCACAAUUAUUACCACUAUAAAGUAGUUAAGUGAUAAAAUAUUCAAUUAAUCACAGAAUCAAUAAUUAACAAGAAUCCCCAAGUAUCGAAGAAUCCCCAAGAAUCGAGUGCGCGGUGCGGCGGGUGAGUGAAGUAUCCCUGCUUUCUAGCCAACAGGUGAGCAUGAAUUUGAGUGUCAUAGUGAUGUAUUCAUUCUUGACAAGGCUGAAGAGGUGGGAAUCGAUCUUCCCUCCUCUUGCAGAGCAGGGUCUUGCUCUACUUGUGGUGGAAAAGUUGUUUCGGGCUUAGUGGAACAAUCAGACCAGAGCUUUUUUGAUGAUGAACAGAUAGAGGAGGGCUAUGUUCUCACGUGUGUGGCUUAUCCUAAUUAUGAACAGAUAGAGGAGGGCUAUGCACUGUAAUUUUUUUACUAAAUAUGUUUGAUUUCAUUCAAAUUAUGCAUGACAGUUUGAACAUCUUUAAUAGGCUUAAUGCCCUUUCAACGCUCAAUGUUUGGGGCUAUGUACCGAUGCGGCCUCAAUGUUUUAACUCGACUGAUUCAACCUUUUAACUAUCCAAUAUGUUCCGUUUAGCCCUCAUACCGGUAUAAAGUCAAAAAAACAGUAAUAUAACGGAGGGUAUUAACAUAGAGGGUUAAAAGGGCAUUUAGCCACCAAUAAAGAAAUUACUCCUGACAGGACCAAGAAAAAAAGAGACAAAAUAAAAUGUUGUGAUCCAGUCCAGAGAAGAUAACUCAAACAUGUUGAAGAGAAAAGGAACUAGUCUAAGGUGCUCUAAUUGUGGUGAGUGGGAACACAAUGUUAGAAGCUGUCCUAAAGAGGUGUAAUAACAUAUCUGUACUCCGAUAUUUUAUCAUAUACAUCACACUGCAACUAAUAUCUAUUUUCCUAACAGAAAACUGCUGGGAACAAAGAGGAUGGGAAGAAAGAAGAUGCCUUCAAGUGGAAAGAAAGAAGAACCAGAUGCAACUACUGCAACGAACUUGGACACAAUGCCAGAUCUUGCACACCUAAGGUAUAUUUCACUUCAGUUUUUUUUGGUAAUUUAGUGUGUAUUGUCUUUUUUCAUGUAUCUAAGGUGUUUUGUGUCUUUUCAUGUGAUUUAGAGGGGAAGAAAUCAUCUAGGAACAAGAAACUUGCAGGAAGAUCACCCAGGUGCAGCCCAAUAAAAGAUGGCAAAGAAUUCCUCACUCAUGAGGGUAUGUUCAAGCCUUUCAAACUACCCACACAAACAGGCCCUUCACAGGAUUUGAGUACUCCGAAAGAGAUGGCUAGAACUACACAACUACGCAACUCUUAAGCAAUUGCAAGCAGUAUUGAGAAAGAAUAAGGGUCCCGUGGUCUAUUGAGAAAAGAAUAAGGGUAUUGUCACUAUAUUGGCUACUUUGAAUGUUUUAGUUCAGAAACAACUAGGGUCUUUUAAGAAUUUCUCUGUUUCAUUACUUUUGAGAAUUGGUCUAGUGUAUUAUUAUUGGGCAAUUCUUUUUGUUGUUGGCCGCGACUUGAAGUUGUUUUGGAGACGUAGUUGGUUGUAUCUGAUCUUAAACAUUUAUAGUAUCCAUAUGCUUUUAUCUCUGUCAUUUAUUGAGUUUAGUGUGCAUUUAUACUUGCUUUCGACUUUUAUUUGUUUUUUAGUUUUACCAGUAUUCUGCCUCAUUUAUGUUAUGGUAGCAUUUGUCCUCAUCUAUACUAUAAUGACCUCUCAAACACAAAACAAACAUAAGGGAAACAUUACUUCAGUCGAUUCAUUUUAAACAAAUACAUUACAAACUUCAUCAAACAUUACUCAAUGUCAAUACUCAACAAGAAGAAAAUGACAUCUACAACUCCUAGUCCUCUACAUCAACAUCUUGCAUCUUGCGGAAACUAUAUAAAACAAUUGCAAUCCAUGUGACAAUCAACAAAGUAAGCGCAAUGUUGCAACUACACUUCUCUUGUUUAGAUCCUUCUUGAAACUCCAUGUCCCAUGCACCCAGAAAACCCAUUCUCCCUGCUUCGGAACAUACUAUAUAUGACCUCCAAUCUAUUCCGGACCAAAUCCAAUUCUCUUGCAGUCAACUUGUUUAUGUUGUGCUUCGAGCUUAUUAAUUUUUUUAAUAGCCCAGGGAUUAUUGCUCUUGCACGGUCAUAAAGUGGAUCAUCCAACCAUCGGAAAAAUCUAUUUCACAAUAAACAAACCGACGACCUACAUUUGAAUCUGUCCAAGCAGUUUUCGCGAGCAACCAAUUAUCACAGACACAUCUUUCAGCCGUUAUCUAUCACCGAUGAAGAAGUAAAGAAAGAAAGGAGGGAUAUGAAGAAGACAGAGAAAAGAUGAGAAGAGAUAAAAAAAGACACAAAUAAAAAAAAGACUAUAUAUAUAUAUACACACACACAGACUGUGUCCAAAUCUAGUCAAAUGUCCCCGACUUAAUGGUUUUCAAUAAACUUGACUGUUACAUUAAGAAAAAGGUUUAAUCUGACGCGCCAAACAAAACAAGGUGCACAGUUGCAAUUAUAUAAAGUACUGGCCAUAAAAUGCUCUUCCCGAACUUCAAUGGGUAGCGUUUUGCAAUUAACUUUAUAAAAUACUACUACGAUGAUGAUGUAUAAAUAUUAAGAAAUUUUUAUAUCCAAUAGCAAAACAAGCCACGUAAAUAUAAGGCUUAAUGACCUUUUAGCCCUCGAAGUAUGGGUGGAAGUUCCGAUGCGGCGUCGAAGUUUAAAAACGUACCUUUCGACCCUCAAAGUAUCUUUGUCGUACCUUUUAGCCCUUUUUAAAAUUACCGGUAUAAAUCGGGGGGAUAAACUUGACAAUUCAUAUUCGAGGUAAAGUUUGGGCGUACCUUUUAACCCUUAAAGUAUACAUCUCGUUCCUUUUAACCCUUAAAGAAUACAUUAAAAUACAUGAGAUGUUCCUUUUAACCCUUAAUGUUUAAUGCUCUUUUUAACCCUCACGUGUGAAAUGUCAACUUUGUCCACCCCGUUAUAACCGGUAUACGCCAUAAGGGCUAAAAGGUACGACAAAGAUACUUUGAGGGUCGAAAUGUACGUUUUUAAACUUCGAGGCCGCAUCAGAACAUCCACCCAAACUUCAAGGGCUAAAAGGUCAUUAAGCCUAAAUAUAAAAACAAGAAAAAUUUAAGCCACAUUUUCAGUAAUAAAAGAAGAGCAAGCCACAGAGCAGCUCAUCAGAUGCACACAAAGAAGAUAGGAUAAGAUUUCCUCUGAGCGCCUUACUUCCACACUCCAGUAAAUUAUAUCCUCCUUAUCAACUUGCAUUCAUUCUCCGAAAACUAGCAUACCAUUCAAGAUGGCUGCAUUAACAACCCUCUUCACCACCAUGCUGAACACCACCUUCUUAAACCGCCACCAACCUGUUGUCACCAGUCUCCGAGCCAACACUGGUAAAUCCCUUUUCGGGCUCAAGUCAUCCGGACGAGGCCGGGUGACUUGCAUGGCUUACAAAGUGAAGCUGAUUACACCAACAGGUGAGCAUGAAUUCGAGUGUCCAAGUGAUGAGUACAUUCUCGACUAUGCUGAAGAGAAGGGAAUCGAUCUUCCCUUCUCUUGCAGAGCAGGGUCAUGCUCUAGUUGUACAGGAAAAGUUGUUUCGGGCUCGGUGGAUCAAUCAGACCAGAGCUUUCUUGAUGAUGAACAGGUGGAUGCGGGUUAUGUUCUCACUUGUGUGGCUUAUCCUAUCUCUGAUGUAACAAUUCAAACCCACAGGGAGGAGGAUCUUUUUUAAAUAUUUAUUCUUAUGUCCUGAUAUCCUUUGUUACACAAUUCAUAAUCUUCUGUUUGGUUUUUGAUUAUUUACUAUGAAAUGUUUCAUCAUAAAAUCAAAAUAUGAUACUCCGUCCAUCCCAAUGAAUUCUUUACAUUGGGAUUGGGUACCGAGACUAAGAAAAAAUAUAUUAAGUGGUAUAAAAUAAUAAGGGAAAGAAAAGUGGAGAAAGUAGUGAAUCCAUCUAUAUUUAAUGGAUAGAUUUGAAAAUGUAGAUGAACGUAGUGAGUGAGAUUGAGUUUUAUAUAAUAUAAAAUUUUACUAUUUUCGGAAUGUUUUGUAAUUUAUAGAAAUGAGUGGGAUGUCAAAAAAAACUGUAAAGAAUCUAAUGGGACGGAGGGAAUACAAUUCAUUUAAAUCUAUAAAUUGAUUUUAAUUCAUUAAAAUUCGGGUGGAUACACCCCUUGAGAGCAGCUCUGUGCCUCUGUUACAAAGGGGGUUUCCCUUUUGUUAUCAGAAAACCAUCUGUUCUGAGUCUAGAAAUCCUUUACUCAAGGCCAGUCCAUUUCAGAAACUUGUUUGCGUUUGCCUGAAGUAAGUUUUUUUCCAUUUCACCCGAAAUCUCUUUCAUUUUUUACAUCGAAUAUAGUUGAGAAUGUAACAAGAGGUUGAAGAGUGGGUAUAGGAGUAGGGCUCACGUCAAAACCCUGCUUAGUGCUUACCCUGCUUGGCUUGCUGUAGGAAUAACAUGUCAGUCACCAAAGUGUUGGUAUCAAGUUUUGAGUUCGGUCACCAACUUGAUUACUAAUCCAAAAUCUGUUGCAGGGUAUUGGUUAAUAAGGCCCUGUCGCGGAUUAAUAAAAUAAAUAUAAAAUACUACUACAAUGAUUAAUAAUCACUAUAAAUAUUAAAAAAUUUCAUAUUGAAUAGAAAAAUAAGUCACAUAAAUAUAAAAACAAGAAACAUGUAAGCCACAUUUUCUGUAAUAAAAGAAGAGCAAGCUACAGAGCAGCUCAUUAGAUGCACAGAAAGAAGAUAGGAUAAGAUUUCCUCUGAGCUGCUCUACUUCCACACUCCCUCUCCACUCCAGUGAAUUAUACCCUCCUUAUCAACUUGCAUUCAUUCUCCGAAAACUAGCAUUCCAUUCAAGAUGGCUGCAUUAACAACCCUCUCCACCACAAUGCUCAGCACCACCUUCUUAAACCGCCACCAACCUGUUGUCACCAGUCUGCGAGCCAACACGGGUAGAUCCCUUUUCGGGCUCAAGUCAUCUGGCCGAGGCCGGGUGACUUGCAUGGCUUACAAAGUGAAGCUGAUUACACCAACAGGUGAGCUUGAAUUCGAGUGUCCAGAAGAUGCAUACAUUCUCGACCAUGCUGAAGAGCAGGGAAUCGAUCUUCCCUACUCUUGCAGAGCAGGGUCAUGCUCUAGUUGUACCGGGAAAGUUGUUUCAGGCACACUGGAUCAAUCAGACCAGAGCUUUCUUGAUGAUGACCAGAUGAAGGCUGGUUAUGUUCUCACUUGUGUGGCUUAUCCUAC